AGGGAUCAUUACCGAGUUUA
rnacentral:rRNA from 5 species